GCAGUCGCGCGGACGAAGGGAGCUUGCUCCCGGAUGUUAGCGGCGGACGGGUGAGUAACACGUGGGUAACCUGCCUGUAAGACUGGGAUAACUCCGGGAAACCGGAGCUAAUACCGGAUAGUUCCUUGAACCGCAUGGUUCAAGGAUGAAAGACGGUUUCGGCUGUCACUUACAGAUGGACCCGCGGCGCAUUAGCUAGUUGGUGGGGUAAUGGCUCACCAAGGCAACGAUGCGUAGCCGACCUGAGAGGGUGAUCGGCCACACUGGGACUGAGACACGGCCCAGACUCCUACGGGAGGCAGCAGUAGGGAAUCUUCCGCAAUGGACGAAAGUCUGACGGAGCAACGCCGCGUGAGUGAUGAAGGUUUUCGGAUCGUAAAGCUCUGUUGUUAGGGAAGAACAAGUGCGAGAGUAACUGCUCGCACCUUGACGGUACCUAACCAGAAAGCCACGGCUAACUACGUGCCAGCAGCCGCGGUAAUACGUAGGUGGCAAGCGUUGUCCGGAAUUAUUGGGCGUAAAGGGCUCGCAGGCGGUUUCUUAAGUCUGAUGUGAAAGCCCCCGGCUCAACCGGGGAGGGUCAUUGGAAACUGGGAAACUUGAGUGCAGAAGAGGAGAGUGGAAUUCCACGUGUAGCGGUGAAAUGCGUAGAGAUGUGGAGGAACACCAGUGGCGAAGGCGACUCUCUGGUCUGUAACUGACGCUGAGGAGCGAAAGCGUGGGGAGCGAACAGGAUUAGAUACCCUGGUAGUCCACGCCGUAAACGAUGAGUGCUAAGUGUUAGGGGGUUUCCGCCCCUUAGUGCUGCAGCUAACGCAUUAAGCACUCCGCCUGGGGAGU
rnacentral:rRNA from 1 species